AGGUGUGAGGUGAAGAAUUGUAACAACCAAAGUGUCAGCUUGAAAAAGACCAAGCAGCCCAACGAUCUCAAACCAGAGGAGCAGAUGGCUUAGGGCGAGUGGCUCACCUCCAUCUCCCAGACCUGGGUCUGCAGCUGAAGGCACCUAAUUUCCAGUUCCUCUGCUGUGGGGUGAUUUUUUGCAUCAGGGAGGACACGGAGUCCAUGUCAGCGUGAGCUGUGCCUGAAAGCACAAAAACAAUGUGUUAUCUCUCUAAAAUGGCGAUGGGUAGUGGAGGUUCAUCUGUGCCAUAGGGGACCCCACACAAGAAUUCCUUUCCAGGUAGGACAAGGGGGUACCUUUUUGGGGAACUGGAUAGAAAUCCCUCGGCUCUUGAGUGGUGUAUGUGAGAGGGGGACCACAGGAAUUAACCCUGCCCUGGGGGUAGAGGACACCAGGCUCUGUCACUGAGAAACUGUGAUGACCCAGAAUCCCCUAAUCAUUGUGGGACUUUACCCUGCAUGUUCUUUUUCAGCGUUGUCCCCCUUGAGCAGGAGGGGAGACUGCCUGGAGCUGGAUCCUUUGUCCUGGGAGACAGACUGUCUUCUUCUGAGAAGAGGCACGAAAAGCAUGAAAAAAAGAAAACAGGUCAAUGUUUUGGAUACGACUUCUCCAAAAGCAGCUGCAGAAAGCAACUCUUCUCCCCUUGAAACGGAGGAAACACAAACGUGAUACGAACCUGUGUGAGACCUGAGUGACCCACAUCCCCGGUUCCUGCUGGGGGCUGAUGCCAGCCUGGAGGAGGCAGGCGGUUGCCGCGGCGACGCAGCGCCGCUGCCCAUUGGCUCAGCCCCGAUCACGUGAAAGGCGAGGCAGCCUGAGGACUAUAGAUCCCAGCAUGCACCGCUCCGCCGCCCCUCAGGGACCCCGGCUAUGGCGCGGUCACCCCGUCCAGGCCCGGAGUCCUGCGAGUUGCCUCACAGGACCCGUCGCCGUCCCUGCUUGUCCCCUCGGGGGCCACCAGACCCCAGUGCGCCUCGGGGGGAUGCCCCGGGGCCACCCGGACCUGCGCCUGGGGGCGAUUCGGCCUCCCGGCUCGUUGGCGGGGCCUUCCCGGCCUGCCUGAAUCCUGAGGGCCGAGGAGGGAGGCUGAAGGGCUCCCCGUCUGUCUUCUGCCCUGCACACCGGCCCGCAAAACUGUGCUUUUUUGACCUUCCCUCGUUUCAGAGUACUUCAAAGGUUUGCCAGUGCUGAGACCCAGCCGGAGCAUGACGCGAUGCUGCCUUUCCUCAGACAUCCACAGCUUCAGCUGGUAGACAUGGGCUGAGGCAUCACAGCUCCUCCUGAUUUCCUCACCUUCCCCUUCUCUGUUUUCUAGCAAGGCUUUCCCUCACCCAGGCAGUACCGCAAGCUUGUUUUGCCUCGCUGAUGCUCUGAACUCCACCUAGUCCUUGCCUCCAUCCAGAGACCUUUCCCUGUGUGUCACCCAUUCCUGCCCACCGCUGCCUCUGCUCUCUGGAGAGCUCGGCCUCGACAGUUGGAGAGCGGCAGAACAGGCCCAUUUUUAGCACCUUUUAUGGGAUGUUGGUUGGCCCCAAGAGACUUUCAUUUUGACGCUUCUGUGAAGUGAAAAAAAAUUCACUAAAUUUGGUGAAGCUUUGCCGCAGAGGAGCCUUCAGCUCCGGGCAGAGGCUGUCGGUGGGUUUGCUGCACUGCGAUGCGCUUCACCAACACAAAACCAGACAGCGGGUGUAUGUGCUUGGCACGUUUCGGUAGCUUUACUGAUUUCAAACUAUCUUUAAAUCACAAGAUCUCUUUUGUUUCCUCCUGCUGCUGCAGUUGAGUGGGUGAAGGGUGCUCAGAGAUCCGCUGUGAGGAGAUGGAUGUUUGGGGGCUGGAAGGAAGCAUUUCCCUGAUCCAUUACCUGGAUCAGACAAUCCCAGGCGUGUAACGGAUAUUCAGAGGGACAGCUUGGACCCAGCUUCUGCCCUGAGUUGCAGGGAAGGAGGUUUCUUACACAAUGCAGAGCCCUUGUUGAAACGUUGGCUGCGAUUUACAAACCUUCUCAGUGAACCAGGGUGGGUUUUAACCCAUAACCACAACUGGGUCUUCAUGGGCAUGGGGCA
rnacentral:lncRNA from 1 species